rnacentral:rRNA from 1 species
CUGCCUAUCCGAUUGAUGGCUUAGUGAGAUCUCCGGAUUGGCUUUGGGAAGCUGGCAACGGCUACCUAUUGCUGAGAAGCUGAUCAAACUUGGUCAUUUAGAGGAAGUAAAAGUCGUAACAAGGUUUCCGUAGGUGAACCUGCGGAAGGAUCAUUAGUGAAUUGAAUAUGUUAGCGGACCUCUUCGGAGUCCCUAGCAUCAAAUCAUAUCCAUAACACCUGUGAACUGUAAGGCUGUCUUGAAAACGAAAGUGAUUAGAGCGCCUGCCCAUUUUAUACAAACAUUAAAGUAACAAACGUAGUCUUAUUAUAAUCUAAUAAAACUUUCAACAACGGAUCUCUUGGCUCUCGCAUCGAUGAAGAACGCAGCGAAAUGCGAUAAGUAAUGUGAAUUGCAGAAUUCAGUGAAUCAUCGAAUCUUUGAACGCACCUUGCGCUCUUUGGUAUUCCGAAGAGCAUGCCUGUUUGAGUGUCAUGAAAAUAUCAACCUUGACUUGGGUUUAGUGCUCUUGUCUUGGCUUGGAUUUGGCUGUUUGCCGCUCGAAAGAGUCGGCUCAGCUUAAAAGUAUUAGCUGGAUCUGUCUUUGAGACUUGGUUUGACUUGGCGUAAUAAGUUAUUUCGCUGAGGACAAUCUUCGGAUUGGCCGAGUUUCUGGGACGUUUGUCCGCUUUCUAAUACAAGUUCUAGCUUGCUAGACAUGACUUUUUUAUUAUCUGGCCUCAAAAACAAGGAUUCCCCUAGUAACGGCGAGUGAAGCGGGAAGAGCUCAAAUUUGAAAUCUGGUGGCCUCAGGCUAUCCGAGUUGUAAUCUAUAGAAACAUUUUCCGCGUUGGCCCAUGUACAAGUCUCUUGGAAUAGAGCGUCAUAGAGGGUGAGAAUCCCGUCCUUGACAUGGACUACCAGUGCUUUGUGAUAUGUUUUCAACGAGUCGAGUUGUUUGGGAAUGCAGCUCAAAAUGGGUGGUAAAUUCCAUCUAAAGCUAAAUAUUGGCGAGAGACCGAUAGCGAACAAGUACCGUGAGGGAAAGAUGAAAAGCACUUUGGAAAGAGAGUUAAACAGUAUGUGAAAUUGUUGAAAGGGAAACGAUUGAAGUCAGUCGUGUCUAUUGGACUCAGCCGGUUCUGCCGGUGUACUUCCUUUAGAUGGGGUCAACAUCAGUUUUGAUCGCUGGAAAAGGGCAGGAGGAAUGUAGCACUCUCGGGUGAACUUAUAGCCUUCUGUCGCAUACAGUGGUUGGGACUGAGGAACGCAGCUUGCCUUUAUGGCCGGGAUUUAUCCACGUACAAGCUUAGGAUGUUGACAUAAUGGCUUUAAACG